UACGUAGGGGGCAAGCGUUGUCCGGAAUCAUUGGGCGUAAAGCGCGCGUAGGCGGCUCGGUAAGUCCGUUGUGAAAGUCAAAGGCUCAACCUUUGAAUGCCGAUGGAUACUGUCGAGCUAGAGUCCGGAAGAGGCGAGUGGAAUUCCUGGUGUAGCGGUGGAAUGCGCAGAUAUCAGGAGGAACACCAAUAGCGAAGGCAGCUCGCUGGGACGGUACUGACGCUAAGGCGCGAAAUCGUGGGGAGCAAACAGG
rnacentral:rRNA from 1 species